rnacentral:lncRNA from 1 species
GUUCUUCUUCUCGCGCACUUCCAUUGCUUCCUUUCCCAAACAUUGGUUAUUCUUCUUCUUCACGCUUGUUUGAAAAGACCUCUGACUUCUUCCUCAAUAAAUGUGAGAGGUUAAGAUUAAUAUGUAUACAUAUUCCUUGCAAUCAAGCAUUAGAGGGUAAUAGCCAAUGAGUAUUUAUUGAUGAGUUGUUGAAGGAUCUAUUCAUUCCAAGCUCUCAAAGAAGCAAUCUAUCAACAAAGCAAAUAGUGAAAAGAAUAUCAAAGUUAGAAGAUUGUCAAGUGACUGAGACAUGGAGGUCUGCAAAACAAAGCUUGCAAUUCCCUGGGACAUGGAGGUCUGCAAAACAAAGAAAACCAGCAAGGACAACAAGUUCAAGUUGCAAAAUACAAGAUUUAUAUUUUGGUACAAUAUUUAUUUUGGAUAAUUUAUAUUGUGACAAACAAAUUAUGGUUCAUAAUCAAUAUUAUUGAUAUUAUUUUGUUUGUUUUAAAUUAUGCUUGCCAAAAUAUAUUUUUUAAGUGAUUAUUGUGACGUUAUGUUUGUAACAAUGAAAAAUGACGAAAAUCUACCAUCAAAUUAUAUUUUACUCUUAAAAAACGAAAUUACUCACAUUUUCUUCCAAAAUUGAUAACUUAUUAAUAUUCUUGUCCAACGGAACGCAUUGACAUUUAGGUCCAAAAAUAAUUACUAACAAUUUCCUUCAAGAAAAAAAUAUUGACAUUUUCUUCCAACAAAAUAUUAUUGAUAUUUAUGACAAAAAAGGAUAUCUUAGUGACAUUUUCAUCCAAUCUAGUUAACAUAACCACGUUUUGACAAUCAAUUUUGUGACAAAUUUAUCAUUGUGCAACGUAGACAACUUUUUUAAUAGUAACAAAUGAAAGUUGACGGUCGGAUAUAUUUGUCGCACUUUUAAUACUUUCGAUGACUAAAUUUUGCAUUUAUAUCUUUCAGGGACACAUUUAUCAAUGAAUUACCCAUUCAGGAACAACAAUGAUUAUUUACCCUACAAUUUAUCUUGUUAAUUUGUAGUUACUCUCUUCUCUCAAAAUAAUUAUUAUUCUAGGUUAUUUUAUACCGAUCAAUAAAAAUAAAUAAAUAAAAUAAGAAUUUUAUAAAAUUAACCUUAUAUUAUUAUUAAUUCAUUUUUAGAUUUUGUAGUUUAUAAUUAAUAUAUAAGGGAUAUAAAUGAAAAAUAAUAAUUAAUGUUAUAUUAAAAAACUAAAAUGAUAAUUAAUUUAAAACAUUUUCUUUUCUUACGAUGUGAUUGAAUGAGUAAUUAACUUCUUGAAUCGCUACAAGAGAUAAAAAAGAGUUUAUCUUAUUAAUCUACAAUAAUUAUUUUUUUAAAUUUAAAAUAUUAUAAGUUUAUUAAGGAUUUAGUAAAAAAAUAAUUAAUAUAAGAUAUAAUUUAGGAAUCUUAUAAAAAUAGAUAAAUAUAUUUCUAAUAUAUAAAAAUCUUAUACAUAAAUAUGAAUAUCGUAACUCUUAAAAGUAUCUACAAUUUAAUGAAUUUAUAUUAGUUUUACAUUAGGAAGUAAAUUUGAUUUUUUUUAUCUUUCUAGAUUAAUUUGUGAGCGUUUUAUACUUUUAAAGGUAAAUUAGGUUAUUUAACCAAAAAUUUAUAAUUCAUAUUAUAGUUUAAUCUUAUCCAUUUGGGUCAAGCAUGAUGCAUUUAGCUGAAUGUCAAUCUAUUAACCACCUUUUCUUCCUGUAUCGUGUAGAUUUCUUUAUAUCCAAUAAGGAUUGCAAUUCCGUAAUCUCUAAAUUCUUUUAAAAUAAAAGUUAAAAAUAUAUUUUUAAUGUUUUUUUAAUAUAUUUGAUUAUAAUUUUUUAUAAUUAUUACGUCAAGUAGAUUUUUAUUUUUAAUUUUAUUAUAAUUAAUUUUGAUUUAAUAAUGUAUUUUUUAUAUAUAUAAAUUUUAAAUAAAAAUCAUAGGUUUAAUAAAAAUUUAUAUAUGUCAAAAAGUCACUUUAUCAUUAAAUUAUUUGCAUCAAUAAUUUAUCAUAUUUUUUUUACAUUUAAAAAUUAAAUUUAAAUUUCCCAUUUGUUAAAAAUCAAAUUUUCAUUUUCUCACACCUUCAGUGAACAAAUGGUAUUUGCCUUUUGGUUUAUUUUCAUUCAUGAGAUGGGCGGUGGUUUGUUAUUUUUUCACGAGAAUUAAUAUUAAAGAUUAUUGUAAAUUAUUUUGGUUUUCACUUUUUUCUUCUUCCUUUAUGAAGGCUUACGCAAUAUUAUUAUUGAUACCGACACUUCGUUAUUCUUUAUAUUGAUAACUUUAUGUUGCUAAAUUAAGUAUUUUACACUUACUACCAUACCGAACACUUUCAUUAUUUGCCCAUUAGGGAGGGAUGGGGUUGGAUUGCUAAAAUAAAAAAUAAAUUCAAUCUCAUUCCAUUCAAUCUAAUUAAAUUUAAUUAAAUAUGAUAAAAAAAAUAGAUUAAUCUAUUUCAAUUACUUACACUAAAAAUAGAUAGAAAAAAGAAGAGAGAAAAAUAGUUGAUAAGAUUUUUUUUAUUGACAAAUAUUAAUUAUUAAUUUAUUAGUUUUGGAUGGAGGAGAGGAAUGUAAAAUAAUUGAUAUGGUUACUGUACAUUCCGUCAGAAACUUCAAAUAAAUAAAAAAUAAAGAGAAUGAGAAAAUAAAUGAUUUUUUUUUUAAAAAAAAGGAAACGAAGGAGAAAUAGAGUGAUUACACUUAAUUUGCAUAGCGCCAAGAUUAGUUGAAACUCGUAAAGAUAUUUUUUACUUUUCAUUUUGUUCACCAAAUACAAGAGUUCAGAGAUAUUUCUGUUUUCUACACCAUUACUCUUAUCCACUAACAUUGUCUAAACUCAAAAACCUUUGUUCAAUUUCAACUUUUUGCACCACGCAGUUCUCGACACAAAGGUGUUGUUGGUUCCUCAAAACCAACACAACCAAUCAAAGAAACUAAAAGCCAUGGCAUGUUCUUCAUUCACAUUUGCCAAUCCAUCAUCAAUUCCAAGACCGAGAAAUUCAUUACUUUCUUCUUCUCUAAGCCCGAGAGCCAUGGCCAAAGAGCUUUACUUCAACCACGACGGUUCGGCCAUGAAGAAGCUGUUGGUAAGGAUUUUGGACUCUGUUAGUUUAACACUUGGUUUUGGUUCUUCACAAGAUGUGAGUGAGUUGGUGUGUUGUGGUGCAGGCAGGAGUGGACAUGGUGGCUGAGCUGCUUGGUGUGACAUUGGGUCCAAAGGGGAGAAAUGUUGUGCUGCCAAAUAAGUAUGGACCACCCAAGAUUGUAAAUGAUGGAGAAACUGUUCUCAAAGAGGUGUUUUUUUUCUUAUUAUUCAUUCAUCAUCAACCAUUUGCUUCUUCCCUUUUGUUGAUGUUCUUUUUUUUGUAAUGUGUUAUUAGUUUUAAGGUUAUGGAUAAGUGACAAUUGUCAAUUGACAAAUUUAUGCCUUGUUUAUUGAUUACUGUUUUGAAAAAUAGUUCUUUGUUUUCUAUACCGAUAAGAGGUGGCUCCUAGAAGAUGAUAUUGUUGAUCAAUCAUUCCCUAAGAACUUGGACAAAAAAGCAUUUGAAGAAAACACAAGAAGAGAAUGGGAAAACAUUUCCCAGAUUUUUUAGUAUUUUGGUUUUUAAAGCGCUUGUUUUGAAAACAAUUUUCAAAACAUGAUGGAUGUUGGUUGAGAAAUUGAUUGCUGAGUGUAGUGUGAAUUUGUUUUAGAAAACAGUUUUUAAAACGAAAAAGUAAGAAGAGAAUCAAACAUGGCCUUGCUUUCUUUUAUUUUCAAAUUCGGAGGUGUUUUUUCAAUAUUUAAACACUUGUCUUGUGGCUUGUGUAGUUUAAUGAACUUUUCUAUAAUCUGGUCUAAUAACAACAUGGUUUUGUGCCUUAAUUAUGAAAUUUGUUUCCCUAAUGUUAUAUCAGAUUGAAUUGGAAGAUCCGUUGGAAAAUGUUGGAGUUAAAUUGGUGAGACAAGCUGGUGCUAAAACCAACGACCAAGCUGGUGAUGGCUCAACUACAUCUGUUGUUCUUGCUCAUGGCUUAAUCAGAGAGGGGGCAAAGGUAAAUAUAAUAAGCUGAACACGAGUAUCCUAUUACAUCAAUCAGAACGAAAUGAUUAGAUAAAUGGAUGUUAGCAUAUAUGAUUACGAAGGUUUAUACGAAAAAUUAACAUGUAUAACUAUAUUAAAAAAUUCUCUGUAUUUCAAAUUUGCAAAUGAAGAUUGGAAAACAUUAGCUUUCGGUUAAUGUUUUUGUCACUAUGUCAAUGGCUUUAAAAGGGGUUUCUUAAAUUUGCGCUCUUAUCCGCUCCUUUCUUUUUCCAUUGUAGGUUAUUGCAGCUGGAAUGAAUCCUGUUCAAAUUGCUCGUGGCAUUGAGAAGACAGCAACAGCGCUUGUUUCUGAACUCAGAUUGAUGUCAAGAGAAGUAAGUUCUACUCAUUAGUUUUUUUAAAAAAGAAAAACACCUGGAUUAUUGAAAAUUUUGAGAAUCACAAUGAAAAUUAUCUGGCUGCAGAUGUUGAUUUAAUUGUGCUUUUUUCUGCCUGCCAAUUGUUGCUUAUAGUUGGAAACUGGAAAAUCUUGCUGAAUUCAACAACAUUGGCUGCACUUGUAGGUUGAGGAUCAUGAGCUUGCAGAUGUUGCUGCAGUCAGUGCUGGGAAUGAUUAUUCAGUUGGAAACAUGAUUUCCGAGGCUCUGCACCAAGUAGGCAGAAGCGGAGUAGUGACAAUUGAAACCGGAAGGAGUACCGAGAAUAGUCUUGAGAUUGUGGAAGGAAUGCAAUUUGAUCGCGGAUAUCUGUCCCCAUACUUUGUCAACAAUAGAAGAAAGAUGACAGUUGAACUCCACAACUGCAAGGUAUGGCAAGUAGGGGCAUUUGGACUUUGGAAGAACUUGUACAGAAUUUAUUUGAGUUUAUAAAAGUGCUUAUGGUUAUGACCUUUUGUUUAAGUAUUAAGCUUGAUUCAACAAGCUUCAUGGUUGAGCUAAUGAUAUCAGCUCCAAUGUAAUAAACUUAGGUGUUGUGUGGAUACUUUUUCCGUAAGCACUUCCAUGAGAAGAGAAUAAGAAGGUAAAAUGAAUUGAGUUUCUCUCACAAAUUGAAAUGAACUUAUGCUCUUUAACUUAAUAGAAGCCCUCUCCUUUAACUUCUCUAAAUGUUGAUGUGAUAAGUUGAUUUUAGCUUAUGAAGUUCUGUUCAUUUUACCUUCUUAUUUUCUUCUCAUAUAAGUAUUUAUGGAGAAGUUUGUCCAAACCAGACCUUACGAGAUAAACACUUAAACUCUUUAGUAAAGGGAAUCAGGUAUAUAAAAGCCUUACCUAAGUUCUAUUAAAUAGAUGGUGUAUAAUUCUUUGGUUGCAGUUGCUUUUGGUCGACAAGAAAAUCACAAAAACAAAGGAGUUGAUCAACAUAUUGAACAAUUCUGCGAAAGAAAAAUAUCCAGUUUUGAUAGUUGCAGAGGGCAUUGAGCAAGAAGCUCUAGCUCCAGUCAUUAAAAAUAAACUUCGGGGUGCUCUUAAGGUAGCUGCCAUUAAGGCUCCUGCCUUCGGUGAACGCAAGACCCAUUACUUGGAAGAUAUUGCCAUCUUGACUGGAGGUAGAAGAUCAAACACUCAAAUUUAGAAGCCUAAAUAUUCUGUUUGCUGAUAUGUUAAUACAACUAGAAAGAAAAAUUUCUAUCAGGAGUGAAUGACUGAAGUUGCUAAGAAUAUGUACUUAAAUGACUUGUACCUUAAGUAUAUGACUCACUGAAAUGUCAGAUUAAGUCAAAUUAAUUGAUGCCUAUGCUUGUCCUCAAUGACAAAGAUAGCAUGAAAAUUAGCUGUUAACAACUUAAAAAGAGACAUAUAACUGAAGCAUUAACUUCCAUUUGCUUCAAUAUGUUAGAAUGCUGAGUGGAAGAAAGCAUCAAUAGUUUCUAUAUACAGUCUUCAAGUUUUAGUUCAUUCUCUAAUAAUCUUUACACUUUUACAUUCUUUGCUCUUCCUAUGUUUUUCAGGUACUGUAAUCAGAGAAGAUAUGGGUUUCAACCUAGAAAAGGCUCACAAGAAUGAUCUGGGUUCUGCUACUAAGGUUGUCAUAACAAAGAAUUCUACCUUAAUAGUUACUGAUGGGAGUACUCGAGAAGCUGUUGAGAAGAGGGUUUGCCAACUUAGGAGGCUUGUUGAGGUGAAUACACAGAACUUUGAAGAUCCUCACUUCUCACACUUGACCAGUGUUAAGUUUUAAAAGUAACAUGAUGCAUGUUUAACAUAUCCUGGGAUUACCUACACAUCUAUUUCACAUUUUGCAGAAUACAGUGGAAAAUUUCCAAAAAAAGAUAUUGAAUGAAAGGAUAGCAAGAUUAUCUGGGGGCAUUGCCAUUCUUCAGGUACUAUGAGUUUCAUUUUAUUUGUCAUGUGACAAUCUGUAAUUUAAGAAUUCUGUUUCCAUUUAAGAUAGUUUAUUUUCAGCAACUGAAAUCUAAAUCAUAGGUAGGAGCACAAACACAGGUAGAACUGAAGGAUAAACAGUUAAGAAUAGAAGAUGCUCUAAAUGCAACAAAGGUAUUUCUUUUUCCUUAGCUCUAACAAGAUGAUUUGCUGUAAUUUAAAUGGCUAAGAUUCUUAGAACAAGGCAGGCCGCAAUCGAGGAAGGUGUAGUAGUUGGUGGUGGCUGUUGCCUUUUAAGACUAUCCCAAAAGGUGGAUGGCAUAAAAAAACUCCUGGAAAAUGAAGAACAACAGGUAAUUAUCUGUUCCAUACUACUAAGUUUUCCUUUAUCGUGUUUGAAGUUUAUAAUUAUAACUAAGCUCUUAUUAGUUAUCUUACAAUCUAUUGCAAGCAUUCAUUUUGUGCUGUGCCUUUUUAUUGACUGUUCAAGAUAUGAAAAUUUUAUCUGUAAUAUUAUCUGUAGAUUGGAGCUGAAAUCUUCAGGAGAGCAUUGAGCUAUCCUACAAGAAUGAUAGCAAAGAAUGCUGGUGUAAAUGGCAAUGUCAUCAUAGAUAAGGUCCUGAUCCUGUUGAGAAACUGUUUCUGUAACUGUAAGAGAUUGAUUACCAACUAGAUAUUUGGAUCUUGUGCAGAGUUUAGUUAAUUCAACUCAUCAACAACUAUUCAAUUAAAAUACAUGCUUGAGGCCCCUUAUUUCAUGCAGGUUUUAUCAGACGAUAACCUGAAUUUUGGUUACAAUGCUGCUAGAGACUGUUAUGAGGAUCUCAUGAAGGCUGGGAUCAUGGAUCCAACUAAGGUAUGACCAUUUGAAUGCCUUUUACAUAAGGGAAAACAAUAAGUAAAUUUUCUCAAACUAGUUAUUCACUGUAAGCAUUUACUGAUAAUAUAUUACUAAAUAUCCAAAAUCUGUAUGCCAAAAUAAAUAUCUGAUGCUGUUGAUUUGUUCAAGCCAGAGAUCUUAUGAUUUUCAAUUGAACAAAACUUGGAUACAGUUUCUUAAGUGUUAUUUUUGUGUUCUCCAAUCAAAAUUGGAGUUUCACCUUAAUAAUCCAUGUAAUAAAGGUCACAAUAUAUUACCAAGGUGAAACUUCAAUGCUGAUUGAAGAAUAACAUAAAAGAAACCUAAAGAACUGUAAGUUUUUUGUAGUGAUUUAACACCAUCAAAAUGUCAAAUGGCAUUGUGUGAUCUAUAUAGCAUACCUCAGAUAAAGUUGUGUUGUUCUUAUUGUUGUUGUUUAACACCCUCACAAAAAUUUUGUAGCAGUUUUACAAUCUCAGAAAUUUUUUUCUGUUGCUAGCACCAAAAUUCAAAACUUAAAUUUUUGUGUACAGGUGUCGGGUAGGGACUAAAACUUACAAUUUUCUCGUAUAGAGACUAAAACUUAAAAUGAGAACAACUAUAGGGGUCAAGUAAAUAAUUUAACCAAUGAACAACAAAAUGGAAUAAAAACAGGAAUGCAAAUUGGUACUAGUAUAAAAUAUGAAGGAGCACCUGCCAAUUUUGCAGUGGAGGUGCAUUUUAAGGUUUUGCACAAGAUGACCAAUUCUAUUAUCUUGAAAAAUUGCUGCAGGUAGUUAGGUGUUGUAUAGAGCAUUCAGCUUCUGUGGCCAAGGCAUUUCUAACAUCUAGUGCGGUUGUGGUUGAGCGCAAGGAAUUAAAGCCCAUACCAAUACCACGAAGAAAGCCCAUGCCCACCUCAGGUAAUGAAUUAGAUUCAUUACCAAUACCACGUAGAAAGCCCAUGCCCAUGCCCAUGCCCAUGGCUACACCAGGUAAUAAAAUCUUGCUAUGUCAAAAGGUUAACUCAUUCAUUUGAUUGUGUUUAGUUGCUCUCCUACCAUGUUUUCGCCUUAUAGGAAUGACAGUGUUCAAUUUUGGUUACUCAGGUUUAGGACCAAUGGGCUUUUAAAAAGGAAAUUUGUACAGUUCAAUUCAGCUUUUUGUUCAAGGGUUCAGUGUGAUCAAUCAAGAAGCACUAGAAAUUCACAUACGUAUACUUUGUAUAGAUGGUGGCAUUGAUCUAUCCUAGGAACCACAAAUGAAGUGAAUCAAAAAUUCAAAAUGAAACUGUAUGUGACUAAGUGAAGCCGUGAAGGACAAGGGGAAGCACUGAACAUGUAUGCAGUGGAAGGAAAUUUUUUGUCACAUUCAGACAGUGACUACAGUGUCCUAUUCAUUUUAUUUUUGGUACAGAUGGUGGAUAUUAAAAAAAAAUCUUUUAAUUGUUGGAGGGAAUGUAAAACUUGUCAUCCUAUGUUAAAGUGUAUUACAUAUAAAGCAAUUUAAAGGAAUUAUGAAUCACAUCAGUUUAUAAAUCUAAUACAUUUUGGGGUCUUCAUCUUUUAAGUAUUUCUUCAUUCUAAAGGGCGAAUAGAGAAAAAAGAGGUUCCGAGUUUGAAUCUUCCACUAAUAAAUGAUAAAAAAAAUUAAAUAUUUUGAUGCAAUGCUUCUUUAACUUCUAAAACUAUUUCUACAUGUUAGUUGCCCAUUAAUGGAUUCAAAAGAUAAAUGUUGGUUUUUAAACAGGGUUAUUAUAUUAGGAUAUCCGCAAAUUCUAAAUAUUCUAUCAACAUUUCUAAUUUUAUUUUAUCCCUCUUUCCUUAUCAUAUUACAUCACUAAUCAAAUCAAUUAAUUAUCUUUUCCCUCUCCCUAUCUCUCUUAAGUUGUAUACUCAUAAGAGGUGUUCAACAAAUAUUUUCCUUAUAAAUAUAUAUGUUGUUAAUAGUGUUAGUUUCUCAAAUUAUUGGAUAUUAUUAGUCUCUCAAAUUAAAAAAGAAAUAGUAAAUAAAUUACUGAAAUUAAAAUUUAUUUGUCACAUUAAAAUUCCUUUUGGAACACACUUCAUAUUAGUUCAUAAAAAGCAAGGGUGUUCAAAAGGGAACCAAGUUGUUUGUAACAGUUAAAUGUUAACAAAAAUAAAAAAUCACUUUAACCUAAAACCACAACAAUCAAUAAUCUAGAAAAAUCACACUUUUUGCCGUUUGGUUUGACUUUGAAAUCUUAUUAUCAAAACCCAACAAAACUGCAUAGAUGUUUCACAUUAUGUAGCUAAUGUUAUUUUAAAUUUAUGAUGAUUAUAGCAUGUGAUUUAUAAUCUACUUCUUUCUGUAAUAAGCUUCUAAUAUGAUUUUUGUUGUAAUAAUUAAUAAUAAGCAUUGAAUAAUUUAUUAUAUUUUUUUUCUUUAUAAUCAAGAUGCAUAUUUAAUUUUCAAAUAUUAAAAAAGGAUAUACCAAUAUGUUCAAAAAUAAUAUUAAAUAUUAAAUGAUGUACAAAUUAUUAAAGUAUGUUACAAAAAUAAUUGAUAAUAUUAUUUUAUAAUAAUGCUAAAUAGAAGUAAAAAUAACAGUUUAAAACUAAAAUAUGUUAAAUAAAAUUCAAUAAAGAAUACAUUUUAUUUUUAGAAUAAUAUAAUAUAAUAAUUAUAUAAGUUUAGUUAAUAAAUUUUAAAUUAUGAUAAUAGAUUAAAAAUCACAAAAUCAAAUUAAACAAAAUCAUAAAAAAUUAAUUUAACUUGAUUCGGAUUUAAUAUUAUAUUUAAAUUAAAUUAAUCAUAUUUUUAUUUUAUAUUUGAUUCAAACAACUUUUUAUCUAGUAAUCAAACCAAAUCAUUGUGUGAUAAUCCUAAUAAAAAGAGACGCGAUGUGAGAAAAAAAAGUCAAAACUUACUGUUAAAAUGGUUGACCUUCAAAUCUUAAAAAAAUAAUUAAAAAAAUGGUCUAAUAAUUUAUUUAAUAGAUCCUUUUAACAUUAUAUUAUAGAAGGCACGUGGUUUAUUACUAAAAUUUUCUAAACCAAAAAAAUCAAACGGAAGUCCAAAGUAAAAAAAGCAAGAAUAAAAGGAUGAAAAUUGGUUGUAAAAAAAAAACAGAAAAAGGAUGAAAAUACUAAUUUUAUUUAUUUAAAAAGGUAGUAUUAACGAAAUUAGGAUUGACUUAUUUGAUUUAUUUUCUAAUUUUCGCACGAGAAUUCACAUUCACUCAUUGGGACGAGGGGUGGACCGAGAAAACACAAUCGAGAAAACUCCGAUGUCUCUGUCUCCUCGCGUUCCCUCUGUUUCGAUUCUGUCACCACCGUUCAGAGACAUCCACGUUCUCAUCUGUUUCUGAAUCUCUUCUUAGUCGAUACACUCCCUCCCAAUCUCACCUGAAUAAGAAGAACAUGGCGAUUAUGGUGAUGGUGGGAUUGGGCCUAUUGGACUUCCUCGUCGCUGGGGUUUCUUUAAUCAUUGGUUUGGGCUUCAUUGCCUUCAUUGCUUCCAUUCUCUGCGCCACUGCGUUCUUCAACAACGCCAAGGACGUCUCCUGAGAUUGAAGCCUCCAUUAAAUGGUUCGAUCUUGAC